GGUGAACGCUGGCGGCGUGCCUAACACAUGCAAGUCGAGCGGCCACACAAUGAGCUUGUGCCCUUACCGUUAGCGGCGGACGGGCGAGUAACGAGUGGAUCACCUUCUUCUUUUUCGGGGAUAAUAACGGAGGAAAGGGGCCACUAAUACCUCACAUUACGUACCGCAUAGAUCUAAAGAGCUUGAUGGCUUUGCUGACUCAUUUAGCCGAUGCCGGAUUAGCUAGUUGGGUUGGUAAAGGCCCACCAAGGCAACGAUACGUAGCGGGUCUGAGAGGAUGAUCGGCCACACUGGAACUGAGACACGGUCCAGACUCCUACGGGAGGCAGCAGUAGGGAAUCUUCGGCAAUGGGCGAAAGCCUGACCCAGCAAUACCGCGUGGGUGAAGAAGGCCUUCGGAUCGUAAAGCCCUUUUGUUGGGGAAGAAAAAAAGUAGAUUAAACCGUCGACGUCUUGACGGUACCUAAUCAAAAAGCAACGGCUAACUACGUG
rnacentral:rRNA from 1 species